rnacentral:rRNA from 1 species
GAUGAACGCUAGCGGCAGGCUUAACACAUGCAAGUCGAGGGGUAUAGUUCUUCGGAACUAGAGACCGGCGCACGGGUGCGUAACGCGUAUGCAAUCUACCUUUUGCAGAGGGAUAGCCCAGAGAAAUUUGGAUUAAUACCUCAUAGUAUGUGAGAAUGGCAUCAUUUUCACAUUAAAGUCACAACGGCAAAAGAUGAGCAUGCGUCCCAUUAGCUUGUUGGUAAGGUAACGGCUUACCAAGGCAACGAUGGGUAGGGGUCCUGAGAGGGAGAACCCCCACACUGGUACUGAGACACGGAGCAGACUCCUACGGGAGGCAGCAGUGAGGAAUAUUGGACAAUGGGCGCAAGCCUGAUCCAGCCAUGCCGCGUGCAGGAUGACGGUCCUAUGGAUUGUAAACUGCUUUUGUACAGGAAGAAACACUGGUUCGUGAACCAGCUUGACGGUACUGUAAGAAUAAGGAUCGGCUAACUCCGUGCCAGCCGCCGCGGUAACAC